CUUUCCGGUUGAUCCCGCCGGACCUGACUGCUAUCGGAUUGAUACUAAGCCAUGCGAGUCUUUGUAGCAAUACAAGGCAGACGGCUCAGUAACACGUAGUCAAUCUACCCUAUGGACGGGGAUAACCUCGGGAAACUGAGAAUAAUACCCGAUAGAUCAUUAUGCCUGGAAUGGUUUAUGGUCGAAAUGAUUUAUCGCCGUAGGAUGGGACUGCGGUCUAUCAGCUUGUUGGUGAGGUAAUGGCCCACCAAGGCUAUAACAGAUACGGGCUCUGAGAGGAGAAGCCCGGAGAUGGGUACUGAGACACGGACCCAGGCCCUAUGGGGCGCAGCAGGCGAGAAAACUUUGCAAUGUGCGAAAGCACGACAAGGUUAAUCCGAGUGUUUUCUGCUAAAGAAAUCUUUUGUCAGUCCUAAAAACACUGAUGAAUAAGGGGUGGGCAAGUUCUGGUGUCAGCCGCCGCGGUAAA
rnacentral:rRNA from 1 species